CCUCCUUGUGGCAGCAGUGAGGAAUAUUGGUCAAUGGCCGUAAGGCUGAACCAGCCAAGUAGCGUGAGGGAAGAAUGCCCUAUGGGUUGUAAACCUCUUUUAUGCGGGGAUAAAGGAGUCCACGUGUGGAUGUUUGCAGGUACCGCAUGAAUAAGGACCCGCUAAUUCCGUGCCAGCAGCCGCGGUAAUACGGAAGGUCCGGGCGUUAUCCGGAUUUAUUGGGUUUAAAGGGAGCGUAGGCGGGUUUUUAAGCGUGCCGUGAAAUUUUGUGGCUCAACCAUGAGAGUGCGGCGCGAACUGGAGUCCUUGAGUGCGCGGAAGGCAGGCGGAAUUCGUGGUGUAGCGGUGAAAUGCUUAGAUAUCACGAAGAACCCCGAUUGUGAAGGCAGCCUGCCGCAGCGUUACUGACGCUGAGGCUCGAAAGCGUGGGUAGCGAACAGGAUUAGAUACCCUUGUAGUC
rnacentral:rRNA from 1 species